rnacentral:SRP_RNA from 1 species
GCUGGGUGCGGUGGCAUGUGCCUCUAGUCCCAGCUACUCGGGAGGCUCAGGUGGGAGGAUCGCUUGAGCCCAGGAGUUCUGGGCUGUAGUGUGCUAUGCCAAUUGGGUGUCUGCACUAAGUUUGGCAUCAAUAUGGUGACCUCCCGGAGGCAGGGGACCACCAGGUUGCCUAAGGAGGGGUGAACCGGUCAAGGUUGGAAACGGAACAGGUCAGAACUCCCAUGCUGAUCAGUAGUGGGAUCACGCCUGUGAAUAGCCAUUGCACUCCAGCCUGGGCAACAUAGCGAGACCCCAUUUCU